GAAAUGCGAUAAGUAGUGUGAAUUGCAGAAUUCAGUGAAUCAUCGAAUCUUUGAACGCACAUUGCGCCCUUUGGUAUUCCUUAGGGCAUGCCUGUUCGAGCGUCAUCUAAACCUUCAAGCCCUGCUUGGUGUUGGGUGCCUGUCCCGCCUCCGCGCGCGGACUCACCUCAAAUCCAUUGGCGGCCCCCGCGUCGGCCACGAGCGCAGCAGAAACGCGAACUCGUGAGCCCGUCCGGGCGGCUCCCAGAAGCUACACCCACCCAGUUUGACCUCGGAUCAGGUAGGGAUACCCGCUGAACAUGAGC
rnacentral:misc_RNA from 1 species